GCUAUCAGAUGAGCCUAGGUCGGAUUAGCUAGUUGGUGAGGUAAUGGCUCACCAAGGCGACGAUCCGUAACUGGUCUGAGAGGAUGAUCAGUCACACUGGAACUGAGACACGGUCCAGACUCCUACGGGAGGCAGCAGUGGGGAAUAUUGGACAAUGGGCGAAAGCCUAAUCCAGCCAUGCCGCGUGUGUGAAGAAGGUCUUCGGAUGUAAAGCACAAUAAGUUGGGAGGAAGGGCAGUUACCUAAUACGUGAUU
rnacentral:rRNA from 1 species